UACGAAGGGGGCUAGCGUUGCUCGGAAUCACUGGGCGUAAAGCGCACGUAGGCGGAUCGUUAAGUCGGGGGUGAAAUCCUGGAGCUCAACUCCAGAACUGCCUCCGAUACUGGCGAUCUUGGAGUCCGGGAGAGGUGAGUGGAACUCCGAGUGUAGAGGUGAAAUUCGUAGAUAUUCGGAAGAACACCAGUGGCGAAGGCGGCUCACUGGCCCGGUACUGACGCUGAGGUGCGAAAGCCAGGG
rnacentral:rRNA from 1 species